rnacentral:rRNA from 1 species
AUGAAUCUGUUAGCCUGGAACUGUCGAGGGUUGGGGUUUACCUCGAUAGUUGGCGAGCUUCGGGACCUUAUUAGGUCGCACAACCCAGCGGUGGUGUUCCUUUGUGAAACAAAAAAGAAAUCUAGGGCGAUGGAGAAAUUGAAGUGGAGCCUUGGGUUCAAGAGUGGUGUAGCGGUGGACUGUGUGGGGAGGAGCGGAGGACUAGCCUUGUGGUGGAGAGAGCAUAUUGAGGUAAAGGUGAGGCCUUGGUGCCAAUAUUUCAUUGAUGCUGAGUUAUCUUGGGAGGGCAAAACUUGUAGAUUCACUGGUUUCUACGGUGAGCCCAAGACCGAGCUACGCCAAAAAUCAUGGGAUGAAAUAAGAUACCUCAUAAGGCAAGACAACCUUCCGUGGUUAUGCGCGGGGGAUUUUAAUGAGGCUCUUUUCCAGACGGAUCAAAUAGGCGGGAACCAGAGAAACUUCAAUCAGAUGGAGGACUUCCGGGACUGUCUGGCAGAGAGCGGGCUGGCUGACUUGGGCUUUGUGGGAUACCCAUAUACGUGGGAUAAUAAACGAGACGGUGGGGAGAACAUUCAGGUAAGGCUGGAUAGAGCCACUUGCAAUGAUUCUUUCCUUGAGAUAUUCCCCGAGACAUGGGUGGAGCAUCUCAUUACAGAGGAGUCCGAAUAA